rnacentral:tRNA from 1 species
GGAUCCGUAGCUCAGUGGUUAGAGCGUUCGGUUCACAUCCGAAAGGUCGAUGGUUCAAGUCCAUCCGGAUCCA